GCCGGUGUGUCGGAACUGGCAGACGAUCCGGACUCAAAAUCCGGUGCCCGCAAGGGCGUAGGGGUUCGACUCCCCUCACCGGCA
rfam:Candidatus Rokubacteria bacterium RIFCSPLOWO2_12_FTLL_71_22 rifcsplowo2_12_scaffold_31455, whole genome shotgun sequence.